rnacentral:rRNA from 1 species
UACGUAGGGGGCUAGCGUUGUCCGGAUUUAUUGGGCGUAAAGCGCAGGUAGGCGGUUUGAUAAGUCUGUUGUGAAAGCUCCCGGCUUAACUGGGAGAGGUCAACGGAAACUAUCAGGCUAGAGUGUGGUAGAGGUAGCUGGAAUUCCCGGUGUAGCGGUGAAAUGCGUAGAUAUCGGGAGGAAUACCUAUGGCGAAAGCAGGCUACUGGACCAUCACUGACGCUGAUCUGCGAAAGCUAGGGGAGCAAACAGG